CCUACGGGUGGCAGCAGUGGGGAAUAUUGGGCAAUGGACGCAAGCCUGACCCAGCAACGCCGCGUGAAGGAAGAAGGCUUUCGGGGUGUAAACCUCUUUUAAGGGGGAAGAGCAGAAGACGGUACCCCUUCAAUAAGCCACGGCUAACUACGUGCCAGCAGCCGCGGUAAUACGGAGGUGGCAAGCGUUGUCCGGAUUUACUGGGUGUAAAGGGCGUGCAGCCGGAGAGACAAGUCAGGAGUGAAAUCCACGGGCACAACCCGUGAACUGCAUUUGAAACUGUUUCCCUUGAGUGUAGGAGAGGUAAGCGGAAUGCCUUGUGUAGCGGUGAAAUGCGUAGAUAUAAGGAAGAACACCAGUGGCGAAGGCGGAUUACUGGACGAUAACUGACGGUGAGGCGCGAAAGCGUGGGGAGCAAACAGGAUUAGAUACCCCUGUAGUC
rnacentral:rRNA from 1 species